rnacentral:sRNA from 1 species
ACCGGCUGUGCGUGGCGUUUUGCCCCCAUCGCGGGCUUCCGCGUAACGGUGUGCGUUCGUGAAAUCGGCCACGACCAAGACCCCAGUGGGGAGGGCCUGCGCGCCGCUCAAAGAGACCCUUUCAUGGACUCACUCUGUCCUGGACCUGACCAGAGAGGGUGGCUGACAAGGCUCGGAAUCGUGGCCUCCAGAGGUUUGUCUGGCAGCAGAAGAUGGAGAUAUGACUUUAAGAGCUCUGAAACUCCACUGUAAUAACAGCAACCAACAGGGCUUACAAAGACCAGGCACUUGAAGUGGAUUUGCUCAUCAUUUGACAAGACACCUCUUGACAAGACACCUCCAGAAGGAUUUUGUUUAUUGUAAAGGAUGGAGGAACUAGGGUGAAAAAGA